rnacentral:rRNA from 1 species
GUCGAGCGGACAGAUGGGAGCUUGCUCCCUGAUGUUAGCGGCGGACGGGUGAGUAACACGUGGGUAACCUGCCUGUAAGACUGGGAUAACUCCGGGAAACCGGGGCUAAUACCGGAUGCUUGUUUGAACCGCAUGGUUCAAACAUAAAAGGUGGCUUCGGCUACCACUUACAGAUGGACCCGCGGCGCAUUAGCUAGUUGGUGAGGUAAUGGCUCACCAAGGCAACGAUGCGUAGCCGACCUGAGAGGGUGAUCGGCCACACUGGGACUGAGACACGGCCCAGACUCCUACGGGAGGCAGCAGUAGGGAAUCUUCCGCAAUGGACGAAAGUCUGACGGAGCAACGCCGCGUGAGUGAUGAAGGUUUUCGGAUCGUAAAGCUCUGUUGUUAGGGAAGAACAAGUACCGUUCGAAUAGGGCGGUACCUUGACGGUACCUAACCAGAAAGCCACGGCUAACUACGUGCCAGCAGCCGCGGUAAUACGUAGGUGGCAAGCGUUGUCCGGAAUUAUUGGGCGUAAAGGGCUCGCAGGCGGUUUCUUAAGUCUGAUGUGAAAGCCCCCGGCUCAACCGGGGAGGGUCAUUGGAAACUGGGGAACUUGAGUGCAGAAGAGGAGAGUGGAAUUCCACGUGUAGCGGUGAAAUGCGUAGAGAUGUGGAGGAACACCAGUGGCGAAGGCGACUCUCUGGUCUGUAACUGACGCUGAGGAGCGAAAGCGUGGGGAGCGAACAGGAUUAGAUACCCUGGUAGUCCACGCCGUAAACGAUGAGUGCU